GACGAACGCUGGCGGCGUGCUUAACACAUGCAAGUCGAACGGAAAGGCCCCUUUGGGGGUACUCGAGUGGCGAACGGGUGAGUAACACGUGAGUAACCUGCCCUUGACUUCGGGAUAACCUCAGGAAACUGGGGCCAAUACCGGAUAGGAAUCCUUGCGGCAUGGUGGGGGUUGGAAAGCUUCGGCGGUUUUGGAUGGACUCGCGGCUUAUCAGCUUGUUGGUGGGGUAGUGGCUUACCAAGGCUUUGACGGGUAGCCGGCCUGAGAGGGCGACCGGCCACAUUGGGACUGAGAUACGGCCCAGACGCCUACGGGUGGCAGCAGUGGGGAAUCUUGCACCAUGGGCGGAAGCCGGAUGCAGCAGCGCCGCGUGCGGGAUAACGGCCUUCGGGUUGUAAACCGCUUUCAGCAGGGGCGAUGCUUGUGGUGACGGUACCUGCAGAAGAAGCACCGGCUAACUACGUG
rnacentral:rRNA from 1 species